AGCACUUCCCUUAAGCCGGCGCCAGCUGCGCUCUCCGACCGUCCUAACAAAGUCCCAUUGAGUCACCAGCUGAUUUUCCUGUGUUCAGCUCUGGGGGACAAGGGACUCUCUUUGCUGGAUGGGCAUUACUCUAGUGCACUGACCGAGCCACUCACCACUCAGGUCCGCCCCAGUUCCUUCCUGCCCUUUAUGCCAUCGGCAGACUUGGCCAGCUCUCUGUCCUAUGGCCAGUUUUGGUAGAGUCUGAAGAUUAAAAGGGACCGCAAAAAACCCCAGGCACCGCACCCGCACCUUCAGAGUCCCCACAGCCUGCAUAGGGUCGCCUUGUCUUAAGAAGACAUCAUUGCAUAUGGGUGACACACACCUGUAAUCUCAGCACUCAGGAGGCUAAGGCAAAGGGAUCGUGAGUUUGAAGCCAACUUGGGUUACACAGACUGUCUUUCCCCGGUGCUCACCAAAUAGGGCUGCCUAGGUUUCUUGGCCCUGAAGUCCCAAGGACAAAAAACUGUGGAAGUCGUGCAAAAAAACACCAGAAACUGAACUGCCCACUGCCACAGAGAAAAUGGACAUGCGUGGGACCCUUGCAGCCACACUGCCAGCAAGGGGCUUCUGCUCCAGCCAGAAUGCUUUGCCCCUGCCCUGUCCUUGGCCACUCUGACCUCAUGCUGCUGGCCCUGGGUCCUGCUUUUAACGCUGAUUGCUGGAGUGAACGAGGGCCCGGGAGGAAGAGUCUGUGGGGAAAGCUGGCAGAGCGAUGAACGUUUUACACGAGCCAGCGAGUCACUGCCUUAUCGGGAAGAUGAGCUGCUCCCUCUUACCAGGAAGUACGAUGUGCGGAGAGCCAGUGUUUUUCCAAAGAUGGCCUUUGAAGAGGAGUGUUCCUUUAAGGGCUGGGAAAGCAGGAGUGAGGCUGGUGGAGAGAAACUGGGCCCCUUUAAGAUGCCUGGCUCUGGCAGGCUUUGCAGUCUUGGAGGUAAUAAGAGUCUGGCCACCUAUAUGCACUUGCUGGGUGUCUAUAGCUGCUUUAAGCACUCAAUCUAUACCAAGCCAUAUCAUAACAAGCCUAUAUAAUAAACAUCAGUCGGGUUUUUUUGCCUUUUAUCAAAAA
rnacentral:lncRNA from 1 species